AGGCCGGGUUAGCUUGUAGAUAGCAAACAUCGUCGAGAACUAUAAUUGGCCAUACUACUUCAAAAACUCUCAAUUUCUCUCUAUAAGCUAGGGGUUUUGGUGAAAAUUCUCCCCAAUAAGCUCACCAAGGUUCCAACGAGACCCCACAUCUCCAUUUGGAGCAAUAGUUGAAGUUGGAGUUGAUCAAAGAAUCAACAAAGAUAGUGUGGGAGUGCACGUGAUGGUACAGGUGGUGUAAGGUGUGGGAGUGCACAUGCUAGUGAUGAUGUGAUGUGGGAGUGUACAUGAUGAUAUUGCCUUGUGCGGUGUGGGAGUGCACA
rnacentral:sRNA from 10 species